rnacentral:tRNA from 1 species
GCGGGCGUAGCGCAAUGGUAGCGCACUAGCCUUCCAAGCUAGAUGUUGCGGGUUCGAGUCCCGUCGCCCGCUCCA